GAGGGUAUAGCUCAGUGGUAGAGUGCAUGCUUAGCAUGCACAAGGUCCUGGGUUCAAUCCCCAGUACUUCCA
rnacentral:tRNA from 1 species